rfam:Chelonia mydas contig256442, whole genome shotgun sequence.
GCUUUUCUCCCCAGACCUGUUGGCGUAGGCUACAGAGAAGCUUUCAGGCUCUGGGGGAAAGAGC